UUGAUAGUACCUUACUACUUGGAUAACCGUGGUAAUUCUAGAGCUAAUACAUGCUAAAAACCCCAACUUCGGGAGGGGGUGUAUUUAUUAGAUAAAAAACCAAUGCCCUUCGGGGCUCUUUGGUGAUUCAUGAUAACUUAACGGAUCGCAUGGCCUUGCGCCGGCGACGGUUCAUUCAAAUUUCUGCCCUAUCAACUUUCGAUGGUAAGGUAUUGGCUUACCAUGGUUUCAACGGGUAACGGGGAAUUAGGGUUCGAUUCCGGAGAGGGAGCCUGAGAAACGGCUACCACAUCCAAGGAAGGCAGCAGGCGCGCAAAUUACCCAAUCCCGACACGGGGAGGUAGUGACAAUAAAUACUGAUACAGGGCUCUUUUGGGUCUUGUAAUUGGAAUGAGUACAAUUUAAACCCCUUAACGAGGAACAAUUGGAGGGCAAGUCUGGUGCCAGCAGCCGCGGUAAUUCCAGCUCCAAUAGCGUAUAUUAAAGUUGUUGCAGUUAAAAAGCUCGUAGUUGAAACUUGGGCCUGGCUGGCCGGUCCGCCUCACCGCGUGUACUGGUCCGGCCGGGCCUUUCCUUCUGGAGAGCCUCAUGCCCUUCACUGGGUGUGUUGGGGAACCAGGACUUUUACUUUGAAAAAAUUAGAGUGUUCAAAGCAGGCCUUUGCUCGAAUACGUUAGCAUGGAAUAAUAGAAUAGGACGUGCGAUCCUAUUUUGUUGGUUUCUAGGACCGCCGUAAUGAUUAAUAGGGAUAGUCGGGGGCAUCAGUAUUCAAUUGUCAGAGGUGAAAUUCUUGGAUUUAUUGAAGACUAACUACUGCGAAAGCAUUUGCCAAGGAUGUUUUCAUUAAUCAGUGAACGAAAGUUAGGGGAUCGAAGACGAUCAGAUACCGUCGUAGUCUUAACCGUAAACUAUGCCGACUAGGGAUCGGGCGAUGUUAUUAUUUUGACUCGCUCGGCACCUUACGAGAAAUCAAAGUUUUUGGGUUCUGGGGGGAGUA
rnacentral:rRNA from 1 species